CCAAUAAUCAUUUUAAUAAUCGAAAUUUCCAUUAUUACUAAAAUAAUUGUGAGUAUUAUUUUUUCGAUAAUUGAGCAGCCCUUCUUGCAGGCUAGUUCUCCAGCAUCUUUGUGAAAGUGAUCCUGAAAAGUGACCCUUAAGUUGUGAAAUGUGCCGAUAAAGUCUUCCCUUAGAAGAAUGUGGAUGCUAUGUUCGGAAAGUUAGGAAUCAGUUGGGAGUGGGACCACAACUAACAUUUUAAUUGAGCAGUUUCCGCUGUAACAACAUUCAGGUAUAGGGCCUUUAAUGGCAGCCCUGAUCACCCCCCAACCCCCCCCCCCCCCCCCCCCUUGUGCUGUUGUGCUGUGUGCUAGACCUCUGGGCCUGACUGACUGUACGGAACAAACCAAAUCCUCUUUUCUACCACUUCCCCUUGGCCCUACGCCUUAAAACAGAGGCUGAAGGCGAGCACUAAAAAUAGAUUCUGUCUGCAUUUACAACAGGCAAAUCUAGUUUUUGUAUUUGCAGCUCAUUAAGAACACAUUUAGAGGUUUCUUUUUUCAUGGAGGGCAUAUUGAAGUGUAUACAGAAUGGAGGGCGCAGAUCGACAGUGCAACAUUCAACUGGAAGCAUUGAGGACAGGUUCAAACCAUGCCCCACCAUUAUUUAGGCCCAAAGAAAAGGAGGGGAAGGGCAAAGGCAGUGGUUAAACUUGUCCCACAAUGUUCCACCUGCUAAUAUACGUUGUGCUCAUUGUUGUGUGUUGUUGUGCCUGUGUAAAGCAGAUAUUUCCUCCUCCUCAGUGCUUCUCCCGGUGCUGCUGUCUGGACUCCUCCUGCUGCUCCUGGCUGUCUCCUACAUGGUCUUCACCCGCCUCCGGACGCCUGCUCUGCCGUCAGUGUUGACCUCGGUGCUUCACUCUGAGGAGAAGCUGGAAGUGUCCUGUCAUCCCGCAGUCUCCUCCCUGCUUCUCAUUGUACCAGCGCCCCCUGAAGGACAGACAGAGCCCUGCAGCACGGCGACGGACAGCAGUGAAGACGAGCAGGACUUGGCCGAGGGCAGAGGGCCCGCUGACACAGUGCUGUACACGAGCAAAGCCUCCCUGUGCUCCGCGUGGGGCUCCACGGCCUCGCGGGGCCCCUCCAAAGCUGCGGAGGUCCAGAUAGAGGGACCAGAGGAGGUGGACCUGCUCACUCUGAUCUUCAGCAGAGACAAAGAAAUGGAUCCGAGUGCUGUGGCUGAAAUGGAAGUCCCACUUUGGAACGUGACGGAGGAGCAGGCUGAACCUGAGGACGAGUUUGGGGAAGACUCUUUUCAAACAGCAUACAUGAGCCGCUGAUCACUUUAGGAUCCUCAAACUAUAUCAUGUGUAUGCUUUACGUACAAUUCACGUACAAUUACCAAUCCGAAAUCUUGCACUGUUCUGAAAACAUCAUUUACAUUUCAUCCAUUGCAUUGCAACUGCGUUUAGAUUUGUGUUUCAUGUUUUAAAACUAGAGGUCAAUUGAUGUGUUUUUGUAAGGCUGUGCCGAUGUGCAUUGCUGAUAUUUUUUAAAAUGUCUAUAAUCCUGUGUACUAAGCCUUUAAACCAGGGGUCACAAAUUAAAUUUCACCAAGGUCCGAAUUGUCGAACAAAGGUCCGGAACAUACGGGGUUAAUUCACAGUUAUAUGAGGAUUUUAAGCCUUUUUUAAUCUAUUACUGUGAUUAGAAAAUAAUGCAGUUAAUUUAAUCCUGUUAUUGUUUUGUUGCUGUAAAAAUAAGUUUUGGCUCCUACUGUAAAUAGCAGAAUGCAUAGGCAGUACUGCAACUGUAGCUUCUAUUAUACACUAUGUGCACAUAAUAUAUGACAGUGAAACUGUGUUUUCCUCUUUGCUCAGUUCAAAACACUGAGCCCUGCUUUGUUCAGGUUUAGUCCUGGUUUAGUCCUGGUUUAGACCUGGUUCUGGUUUAGACCUGCUCGCUACCGAUCGGGAAACAGCCGCGCUAUUUGCGCAUUAGGAUCGUGCGUGCAUAUUUAAUUAGGGCGUCCUCUGCUUUUUUUUUAACAAGCAGUAUUUCAGUCAUUCUCAAACCGUUUCUAAAAGAAUAGUGUCAUGGAGCUAAGAUGUAGGACUUUCUCUUUCUGUUCAUCUGGGCUGUAGUAGUUUAUGCUCUGCAGUCGGAGAGAGAGCGCACACGCAGCCGCUCGUCUGAGGGGAUUCAGAGUCGGGUCCAAAGUUCGGAUCCGAGGUUCGGGUCCGGAUGGGCUGGUGCAAGGGUCCGGAUCCCGACCGAGGUUCGCCGUUUAGUGACCUCUGCUUUAAACUGUAAAAUGAGUCAGUGUUGAGCUGUGACAGUAGGGGGCGCUGUAUAAGGUACAUAGGAAAUCUAAGGUUAACAUAAGGUUCUUCAGAGAGAAGAAGUGUUUUAAAGACAAAUAUCAGCAGAUUUCAGAUAUUAAAAUCUCCAAAAGUCUGCAACAUAAACGUAUACAGGUGAACAAGUGAACGAGGUGAACAAACUUGUGACCUUUUUCACUGUGAUAUUUCUCUGCUCUACUCUUUCAGUUCCGGCCUUUUAUCGACGUCAUAUCGGCCUCCACUUAAAACCCAUAUUACCUUCACUUUACAUUAUAAACACAAAGGAGCAUUCACUUUUGAGAGUUAGCUAAGAAUAUCACUUACUCAGUUAAGAGAGUAAAUUCUCUUCACAGGACCAAAGUAUUCUAAAUCAGAAUAUAUAUAUAAGUCUGUACUACUAAAGAAGAAGUAAAAGUACUUUGAUAAAACGGCACUAAGAAGUAGCUCUCAAUCUUGAAGAAAGUAACAUAAAUGUUAUAAAAUAAUACCAAAUGUUAGAGGCUGGUGGGACUGCCUCACCUGGAACAGCACCGAUGGGCCAGAACCAGAUCAACUUGUGAAGAGGUGAUUGUAAUCAUAGAUGUGAUUUUUGGUAAAUACUAGACCAGUGUUUUUCAACCUUUUUUGAGCCAAGGCACAUUUUUUUCGUUGAAAAAAAUCAUGAGGCACACCAACAGCAGAAAAUGUGUCUUGAAUAGGAACACUGUAUAGUCUCGCUAGCCACAAUAUCACUGUCACCACCACCUGUCACAAUCAUGCAUCACUAAUUCUCUUGUCUCAAAGUAAUGAGCUACCUGCAGCUGAUAUGGAAGAGUAUUACAUGGUGACUCUGUCAAUCACUAGACAGCACAGACACUAGAAAACGGCACAGUAUUUGCGAUAAUAAUUCAUGUGUUUUCAAAAACAUUUUUUCAGACCCACUAGGUGAAAUUGGAUAAUUUCACACGGCACACCAGGCAAUAGCUCACGGCACACUAGUGUGCCACGGCACAGUGGUUGAAAAACACUGUACUAGACGUAUGUGAACUUCUGACCUUGAGGAUAGUUAUUCUACUAAAUAAACUUUCAGGGGAUGAGACAGAUAAAAAUAAAAUUAUCUGAUUCUUUACCCAACCACACUAUAAAGUCUGAUUGAAAGUGUGAGAAUAGAUAUGUAUGUGAAGGUAUGAUUAUUGUAUGUUUGAAAUGCUUUGAGCUGAAAUAACAGUGUUACAGUAAUAUGGUGCCAGUGCAUUAGUCAUACAUGUACAUGUUUCUGUCUGUACUGUGGUUUCUGUUGUUUACUCUGACUGAAAUAUACAGUAUGUGUUUUUAUGCAUUAAAUCAUG
rnacentral:lncRNA from 1 species